rnacentral:rRNA from 1 species
UACACUCCUACGGGAGGCAGCAGUGGGGAAUAUUGCACAAUGGGCGCAAGCCUGAUGCAGCGACGCCGCGUGGGGGAUGAAGGCCUUCGGGUUGUAAACUCCUUUCGCUAGGGACGAAGCUUUUUUGUGACGGUACCUAGAUAAGAAGCACCGGCUAACUACGUGCCAGCAGCCGCGGUAAUACGUAGGGUGCGAGCGUUGUCCGGAAUUACUGGGCGUAAAGGGCUCGUAGGUGGUUUGUCGCGUCGUCUGUGAAAUUCUGGGGCUUAACUCCGGGCGUGCAGGCGAUACGGGCAUAACUUGAGUGCUGUAGGGGUAACUGGAAUUCCUGGUGUAGCGGUGAAAUGCGCAGAUAUCAGGAGGAACACCGAUGGCGAAGGCAGGUUACUGGGCAGUUACUGACGCUGAGGAGCGAAAGCAUGGGUAGCGAACAGGAUUAGAAACCCGAGUAGUCCCAUG